AGAAAAGUCUCCAGUGACACCAGGAAAAGUAGCAAGAUUUGUCGCUAGUCACUUUUGAGAAGAUAAGUCAAGAGGGUUUGGAAAGUCACCAGAUUUAGCGAGAAAAUCGCCAAGUUGGCAGCAUUGAAUGCAAAUGCAAAAAAAC